UACGAAGGGGGCGAGCGUUGUUCGGAAUUACUGGGCGUAAAGGGCGCGCAGGCGGCUCUGAAAGUCAGAUGUGAAAGCCCCGGGCUUAACCUGGGAAUUGCAUUUGAUACUCUGGAGCUUGAGUACGGGAGAGGAGAGUGGAAUUCCCAGUGUAGAGGUGAAAUUCGUAGAUAUUGGGAAGAACACCGGUGGCGAAGGCGGCUCUCUGGACCGAUACUGACGCUGAGGCGCGAAAAGCGUGGGGGAGCAAACAGGAUUAAGAAAACCCCGGUCGAGCCAGAC
rnacentral:rRNA from 1 species